rnacentral:rRNA from 1 species
UCCUACGGGAGGCAGCAGUGGGGAAUAUUGGACAAUGGGGGCAACCCUGAUCCAGCCAUGCCGUGUGUGUGAAGAAGGCCUUUUGGUUGUAAAGCACUUUAAGCAGUGAAGAAGACUCCAUGGUUAAUACCCAUGGACGAUGACAUUAGCUGCAGAAUAAGCACCGGCUAACUCUGUGCCAGCAGCCGCGGUAAU